CGGGCCUCAUGCCAUCAGAUGUGCCCAGAUGGGAUUAGCUAGUAGGUGGGGUAACGGCUCACCUAGGCGACGAUCCCUAGCUGGUCUGAGAGGAUGACCANCCACACUGGAACUGAGACACGGUCCAGACUCCUACGGGAGGCAGCAGUGGNGGAAUAUUGCCACAAUGGGCGCAAGCCUGAUGCAGCCAUGCCGCGUGUAUGAAGAAGGCCUUCGGGUUGUAAAGUACUUUCAGCGGGGAGGAAGGUGUUGUGGUUAAUACCGCGCAAAUUGACGUUACCCGCAGAAGAAGCACCGGCUAACUCCGUGCCAGCAGCCGCGGUAAUACGGAGGGUGCAAGCGUUAAUCGGAAUUACUGGGCGUAAAGCGCACGCAGGCGGUCUGUUAAGUCAGAUGUGAAAUCCCCGGGCUCAACCUGGGAACUGCAUUUGAAACUGGCAGGCUUGAGUCUC
rnacentral:rRNA from 1 species